rnacentral:pre_miRNA from 1 species
GGGGAGCGCCAGAUCCUGGUCUGUGUCCCCGACGCCUUGGGCUCUGGAGCCUGCGCUACUGGAAUUGGGCUCCUGGGGCAGUGCAGCUCCCU